rnacentral:rRNA from 1 species
UACCAGCACCCCGAGUGGUCGGGACGGUUAUUGGGCCUAAAGCAUCCGUAGCCGGUCCUACAAGUCUUCCGUUAAAUCCACCUGCUCAACAGAUGGGCUGCGGAAGAUACUAUAGGGCUAGGAGGCGGGAGAGGCAAGCGGUACUCAGUGGGUAGGGGUAAAAUCCUCUGAUCCAUUGAAGACCACCAGUGGCGAAGGCGGCUUGCCAGAACGCGCUCGACGGUGAGGGAUGAAAGCUGGGGGAGCAAACCGG